GUGUCUGUGUCAUCUCCACGGAUGAAGGCAUGUGGUAUUUAAGUUUUGGCAUCAGAGCUAUCUCAUUCAUGAAUCUUUGGAUAGCUAAUCACACCCCUACACUUAGUAAACAUGUGUUGCUUUGUCAGAUCAAGGCUUGGAAUCAACACGAUUUUGGCUGCUAUCUGCUGACUACAGCAACAAAUGAAUUCCCCUUGUACAGGUCUUUGGACUCUUCCUGCUCUGGAGAAAGAAGUGCUACGCAAUGGCUCUCACUCCAACUACACCCCAAUGAAGCAGACAGGCAAGGCCGCGUCCACUACUGUGCAAUCUCUAUUGCCAGCCCCCGCACCUAAAGAUAUUACUGCAAGUCAUCAAAC